rnacentral:rRNA from 1 species
AUGAACGCUAGCUACAGGCUUAACACAUGCAAGUCGAGGGGCAGCAUGAACUUAGCUUGCUAAGUUUGAUGGCGACCGGCGCACGGGUGAGUAACACGUAUCCAACCUGCCGAUGACUCGGGGAUAGCCUUUCGAAAGAAAGAUUAAUACCCGAUGGCAUAGUUCUUCCGCAUGGUGGAACUAUUAAAGAAUUUCGGUCAUCGAUGGGGAUGCGUUCCAUUAGGUUGUUGGCGGGGUAACGGCCCACCAAGCCUUCGAUGGAUAGGGGUUCUGAGAGGAAGGUCCCCCACAUUGGAACUGAGACACGGUCCAAACUCCUACGGGAGGCAGCAGUGAGGAAUAUUGGUCAAUGGACGAGAGUCUGAACCAGCCAAGUAGCGUGAAGGAUGACUGCCCUAUGGGUUGUAAACUUCUUUUAUACGGGAAUAAAGUGAGGCACGUGUGCCUUUUUGUAUGUACCGUAUGAAUAAGGAUCGGCUAACUCCGUGCCAGCAGCCGCGGUAAUACGGAGGAUCCGAGCGUUAUCCGGAUUUAUUGGGUUUAAAGGGAGCGUAGGCGGACGCUUAAGUCAGUUGUGAAAGUUUGCGGCUCAACCGUAAAAUUGCAGUUGAUACUGGGUGUCUUGAGUACAGUAGAGGCAGGCGGAAUUCGUGGUGUAGCGGUGAAAUGCUUAGAUAUCACGAAGAACUCCGAUUGCGAAGGCAGCUUGCUGGACUGUAACUGACGCUGAUGCUCGAAAGUGUGGGUAUCAAACAGGAUUAGAUACCCUGGUAGUCCACACAGUAAACGAUGAAUACUCGCUGUUUGCGAUAUACAGUAAGCGGCCAAGCGAAAGCGUUAAGUAUUCCACCUGGGGAGUACGCCGGCAACGGUGAAACUCAAAGGAAUUGACGGGGGCCCGCACAAGCGGAGGAACAUGUGGUUUAAUUCGAUGAUACGCGAGGAACCUUACCCGGGCUUGAAAGUUAGUGACGAUUCUGGAAACAGGAUUUCCCUUCGGGGCACGAAACUAGGUGCUGCAUGGUUGUCGUCAGCUCGUGCCGUGAGGUGUCGGCUUAAGUGCCAUAACGAGCGCAACCCUUAUCGAUAGUUACCAUCAGGUUAUGCUGGGGACUCUGUCGAGACUGCCGUCGUAAGAUGUGAGGAAGGUGGGGAUGACGUCAAAUCAGCACGGCCCUUACGUCCGGGGCUACACACGUGUUACAAUGGGGGGUACAGAAGGCAGCUACACGGCGACGUGAUGCUAAUCCCGAAAGCCUCUCUCAGUUCGGAUUGGAGUCUGCAACCCGACUCCAUGAAGCUGGAUUCGCUAGUAAUCGCGCAUCAGCCACGGCGCGGUGAAUACGUUCCCGGGCCUUGUACACACCGCCCGUCAAGCCAUGAAAGCCGGGGGUACCUGAAGUGCGUAACCGCAAGGAGCGCCCUAGGGUAAAACUGGUGAUUGGGGCU